rnacentral:rRNA from 1 species
ACCUGGUUGAUUCUGCCAGUAGUCAUAUGCUUGUCUCAAAGAUUAAGCCAUGCAUGUCUAAGUAUAAGCAAUCUAUACGGUGAAACUGCGAAUGGCUCAUUAAAUCAGUUAUCGUUUAUUUGAUAGUACCUUUCUACUUGGAUACCUGUGGUAAUUCUAGAGCUAAUACAUGCUAAAAACCUCGACUUCGGAAGGGGUUGUUUAUUAGAUAAAAACCAAUGCCCUCCGGGGCUCCUUGGUGAUUCAUAAUAACUCAACGAAUCGCAUGGCCUUGCGCCGGCGAUGGUUCAUUCAAAUUUCUGCCCUAUCAACUUUCGAUGGUAGGAUAGUCUACCAUGGUUUCUACGGGUUCUAUUCCGGAGAGGGAGCCUGAGAAACCACAUCCAAGGAAGGCAGCAGGCGCGCAAAUUACCCAAUCCCGACACGGGGAGGUAUGACAAUAAAUACUGAUACAGGGCUCUUUUGGGUCUUGUAAUUGAAUGAGUACAAUUUAAAUCCCUUAACGAGAACAAUUGGAGGGCAAGUCUGGUGCCAGCAGCCGCGGUAAUUCCAGCUCCAAUAGCGUAUAUUAAAGUUGUUGCAGUUAAAAAGCUCGUAGUUGAAACUUGGCCCUGGCUGACCGGUCCGCCUCACCGCGUGUACUGGUUCGGCCGGGGCUUUCCUUCUGGGGAGCCGCAUGGCCUUCAUUGGUCGUGCUGGGGAACCAGGACUUUUACUUUGAAAAAAUUAGAGUGUUCAAAGCAGGCCUAUGCUCGAAUACAUUAGCAUGGAAUAAUAGAAUAGGACGUGUGGUUCUAUUUUGUUGGUUUCUAGGACCGCCGUAAUGAUUAAUAGGGAUAGUCGGGGGCAUCAGUAUUCAAUUGUCAGAGGUGAAAUUCUUGGAUUUAUUGAAGACUAACUACUGCGAAAGCAUUUGCCAAGGAUGUUUUCAUUAAUCAGUGAACGAAAGUUAGGGGAUCGAAGACGAU